rnacentral:rRNA from 1 species
UACGUAGGGUGCAAGCGUAAUCGGAAUUACUGGGCGUAAAGCGUGCGCAGGCGGUUCUAUAAGACAGAUGUGAAAUCCCCGGGCUCAACCUGGGAACUGCAUUUGUGACUGUAGAGCUGGAGUACGGCAGAGGGGGAUGGAAUCCGCGUGUAGCAGUGAAAUGCGUAGAUAUGCGGAGGAACACCGAUGGCGAAGGCAAUCCCCUGGGCCUGUACUGACGCUCAUGCACGAAAGCGUGGGGAGCAAACAGG